CAAACAUCCAACCUCGUUUUAGAUACAGCAUUAACCUAUUAACUGCGUAAUACCAUGAGAUUGCUAGUUGAUGACGUGAAUAGCCUUAAAGGAAUAGGAGUUUACGAUAUAGACGCCAUGUGUUAAUUUUACGAUUUUUAAUGAAGAUUUGAUUAUGUUCCACUUAUUACGACGAACGAAAACAGAUUGAAUACAUAUUUGUGAUCGCGUAAUGUGCAACAUGUAUAAUGUAUCGUCUUCUUAUUAUUAGAGUCAGUGCUUUUCUUAAGUGGAUUCAACCUCUCCAAACGCCAAAAAUAUACAAUUUCUCACAAUUUUCACUUCUACCUCGGAUUCAGUGAUUCCUUCUUUAUGAUGACCGUGGUGUUGAUUUUCUCUCGGCUACUGUAGCACCUAUGUAACCGAGGAAAACGUGACUUUUCUUAUCCACACGGUUAAUGAAGAUCCGUUCUUGCAUUGAGCUCGUACCAUAAUAAUUAGUGAACUGGUAAUGAGAGGUGAAAUAUAUAUACAUAGAAUAUUACAUAAUUACCUAACCGAGACACAUGUGAAACAUAAUCAACUUACGAACUUGAUAAAAUAUUUCAUCAUAGCGUGCGUUACGUCAAAUCUUCAUUGCUACUCUGUUAUUAAGUUUCACUGCCAAAUCUCCGUAAGAAUAGGUACUGUAAUUAUCAGCAUAAUACAAAGAUUG